rnacentral:miRNA from 1 species
UUCUUUCCGGUCAUUGAGACUGUACAGUCUCAAUGACUGGAAGGGAUUCUUUCCGGUCAUUGAGACUGUACAGUCUCAAUGACCGGAGGGAA